rnacentral:rRNA from 1 species
AACGUAGGAGGCGAGCGUUAUCCGGAUUUACUGGGCGUAAAGCGUGUGUAGGCGGUUCGGCAAGUUGGAUGUGAAAGCUCCUGGCUUAACUAGGAGAGGUCGUUCAAUACUACCGAACUUGAGGGCAUCAGAGGAAGGUGGAAUUCCCGGUGUAGUGGUGAAAUGCGUAGAUAUCGGGAGGAACACCAGUGGCGAAAGCGGCCUUCUGGGAUGUUCCUGACGCUCAGACACGAAAGCUAGGGUAGCGAACGGG